CAUCCACACCGAGCAGGCUGAAAAGUUAGCUUGGCCACGGUAGAUCGCGGGUUUGAUUCCCACCGUGGCCAAGCUAACUUUUCAGCCUGCUCGGUGUGGAUG
rnacentral:sRNA from 1 species